rnacentral:lncRNA from 1 species
ACUCGGCAUCCGUUACUUUUCACAUUUCAGCAUCACUUUUUCCAAAUAGCCAUUUUUGCAAUGUUAAUUAAUGUCACAGCUUGCUGGGCACAUUUGACAGGACAGAAUUUACGUGGGAAGUUAUUGGAUGUACUCUGGACUAUAAUUAAGUAGUUAGCUUUCUGUCAUUCUUCUCAGUGUCAAUACAGUUCUACUGUCUUGGAACUAUACAUGUUCACACCAGUAACUCAUUUAUAAUAAACGGUCCUAGCUAUGGUGAAAGAUCUGUAUAGCUUAUUACACCAGGAUACCAAAACGAUAGCAAAAGCAGCUCAUUUAUUCUUCUCUCCAACUUUCUGCACUUCCUCUUCACUUUCUUCUUCAGCUUCAAACUCCUGUUACUCAUAUUAAACCAGUUGUGGCCAAUGGGGGGGUUAUCAAAAAACCAACAAACUAACUUUUUGGUUCAGCUGCUUUUCUAGGACCCCAAAAACAGGAAGGGGCAGGGGAUUGAAGUUAUCAUUCACCUCUUCUGCCACAAAUAGAUAUACCUGGAUGAGCUCCAUACGGUUUGAUUGGCCACAAGUUGUCAAGUCUUGAUUUAGAGGCUCCACCACUUUGUUUUACCUACAUCUGUCAUUUUGAAUUCCCCUUUUGGCUCCUAUUGCCCUAUACAAGUUUAUCACACACACCCCUUUGAUUUUUGCUGUCCACUGCCUCCAUGCCUUUCCCCAUUCUGUUUAAAUGGGCUGUCUUUCGGGGAUUAGCUCUGCAUCGGGUCCUCGUGAUCCAUACUGCAUGCAGCUCAAUUGUGCUACAGAUAUGAGUUAUCAUAGUUCCAGUACAGCAGGAAGGAUGCCUGCUUAGAAAAGGGGUGCUAAUGAGCGAGACUCCUACACUGUAUGUUCCUUCUUUUAGAAAUGCUAAAUCCAUUCCACAUCUUCUGGAAUGAAAACUCCAUUGUGCAUAUUUUGUGGUUGCUGCUUCUACUUUUUCAAAAAUGCAGAGUGUUCAUAUAGACCAAGGGCAGGAAACCUUUUCAGUCCAAGGUCCACAUUUGCUUCUGAAGAACCUUCCGAGGGGCACUUGUCAGUGUGGGACAGGGCCAGAGGCAAGACUAGGCAGAACAAUAUUAAUAUUUGUACAGAAGGUGAAUUCACACACACACACACACACACACUUCCUCUCUAGUCUCCAUCCAGGCAAGCAGGAAUCAUUGCCAAAGUUCAAGGACACACUCCAGCCAGGCAAAAAGUACUCAAGCCGGGUGCAAAGCAAAGCCAGUGAGUGGUGUGGCAUGGGAAGACAGAGAUGGCUGAGGAGGGGCUGUGUUCAGUGCAGAAUGAAUACUACCAAGCUUUUAUGCUGGAAUAAACCAGACCCUGGCUAUUGCAUUUUGCACCAGCUGAUGUUUCCUUCAUUUUAAACACAGCAUGAGAUCUGGCUAUACAUGUAACAAAUUGGACAUGGGUGGUGCUAUAAACCACUGAGCCUCUUGAACUUGCUGAUCAUAAGGUCAGCAGUUUGAAUCUGUGCAAUGGGGUGAGCUCCUGUCACUUUGUCCCAGCUCCAGCCAACCUAGCAGUUCGAAAGCAUACUAGCAUGAGUAGAUAAAUACAUACUGCUGCAGCAGGAACGUAAACGGCAUUUCUGUGCGCUCUGGCUUCCGUCACAAUGUUCCGUUGAGGCAGAAGUGGCUUAGUCAUGCUGGCCACAUGACCAAGAAAGCUGUCUGCAGACAAAUGUCAGCUCCCUCGGCCUGAAAGUGGAGAGGAGCGCUGCAACCUCAUAGUCAAAUUCUACUGGACUUAACUGUCCAGGCGUCCUUUACUUUUUACCUUUGCCUUACAUGUAACAAAAAGGAGUGGUAAAAUUCCCUGUGCCCCUUCAGAAUGGAGGUGCAAACAGCGGUGGAGCUAGCCGCUUGGGCACCCAGAGCGGCACACAUGCCAUGCACCCAGGGGUGGGGCGAUCUGCCCAUGGGGUGGGGCAAUCCACCCACAGGGGAGCGAUUGGCGUGGCAGCAAUCCGCCCAGGGGGAUUUUGUCACCCCCCUCAGGGAUGACACCUGGGGCAGAUCACCCCCACCGGCCCCCCUUCCUACGCCCCUGGGUGCGAAAUCAAACCUUUUAAUGUUUUCCCUUUUUAAACACAGCCUGCCUUUUCUCACACCACCUCAAAAAACUCCUAAAUAGUCAGAAAAAGUGGGUGAGCUGGAACAAUUCACCCUGUUGUGUUUCCAUUUGCUGGGAUUUUUUAAAUGUAGUGGUGCGUUCAAAAGUGGCAUCCUCGUAUCUGAAGUACUGAAAUCCUUUCCAUGAUCACGUUCCUACUUCACUGUGCUGCAUGUGUGACCCAGCUUCCAACUGAUAAGUCCCAUUAGUUUCAAUGAAUUUAGACAUGCCUACCUUUCUCCAGAUUGUGCCCAAUAUAUUUAAUUUAUGAGAGCAAGAUCAGCAGCAUCUACUUUUUAUAGUGUCAUUCUAAUAAUCCUUGGACAACAAGUUUAAUAAUAAAUUGCCACAAAUACCUAUUUAGGUACUUCAGAGAGGGAAUCAGCUUAUAGUAUUUUACUUGAUACUUUUUAUUUGGUUAGGAUAGCUAAUCAAUGAGUUGUAAUUAUUUUCCAAUUUGAGAUAGAAGAGGCUAGAAACCCACAGAGUUCCAAUUACUGUCAUCUGCAAAGCAGGAAUUGCCUGGUGGUGCCUCUGCCAGCCAAUUGAAAUGAUAACACAGUUCAAAUAAAUUUGUGAGAUGGUUUGUGUAAUGAAUAGUAUAACUUUACCCUUUUAUAUAAAAAUAAACACUCAUACAGCAUGUUUAUACUUUUUUAAGGGUGUAUUUCACAAAAGGUGAUUUAGGAAAUUAUACACAGCUGAUUGAAAGUUACUAGAGAGCAAUUAGGAAAUUGAAGAUUUCCUUAAGACACAGGUUGAUAUGGCCAACAGCUACAAAUGCUACUACUGAGCUUGAUUUCCUCCACUGUGUGGAGAAAUUAUUUUGUGUGCCUUCUUGGUCUUGUGUACAGCUCUCUGAUUUAUAUGAUAAACUAUCAUACUGUGAUUUGCUUUAUGUGGGUCAAUCUCUAGGAGACUAAUUUUAAAUUUAUACAUGAAAGCAAGUACCUAAUCAAUGAUCUGCUUGACCUCUGGCCAAUCAGAUUAUGAAAAAUUGUUUGUUCUUGCGAUACCAUAACCAGAAGAACGAGCUUUGCUAUCUGCUGCUUGUUACCAGUAGAGGGUGUCUCACUCUGUUCCUUAUAACAACUGGAGCUGAGGUCUAGUGCUAUCUAGUGCUUUAACUCUGCUGUUAGCAUGCAGGCCAGAGGGUGUUUCACCUUGCUAUUGCUGGUAAUGCACUUUUAAUAAGUUAUUUUUAUGCCUAUUUAAUUUUUUGAUUAUUACGUUCAUUUGAACUGUCUUUUAUGUGGAUAUUAUGGACACUGAUGGUUGGGUUUUUUUAUUACGCUUUCUUGUGAACUGUUUGGAGCAUAACAAGCAUGAAAUAACAUAGUGAGCAUGACUCUAAGAAACUGCCUAAAUGUCCUUGAAAUUAGGGAAAAUACAGCGGACUGUGGUCAUAUAUGCUUGUUUAUGUUUGGAACAAACAAAAAAAUCUGUGACAAAGUUCAAGGCCUUGCACUAUUAACAAAAGUUGCAAGCCCAUUUGGUAGUAGCUGCUAAGUGGCAGGUUCUGAGAGGAGAGAGAGGUCAUCACUUUGAGAACUUAUCAGGUGGGGCCUGAAUCAGGUAAAUGCCGUCUGAUUGGUCUGGAUGACAGAGGACUCUUGAUUGGCUGGAGGUUCCAGUCAGUUGGGAAUUAACUGUCAGUUGGGUGGAGAGGCAGUGGAGUUGAGUUAGCUGGAGGAUAGGAGGGAAAGGGGUUGAUAAGGAAGAGAAUAGACCAGAGAAAGAUAGGACUGAAUAUUUACAGCCAACAGGGUCUCUUGAGUCUUAAGAACCUAUCAACAAGCACCUUUAAGACCGUAAGUAUCCGUAUUACCUUAGUGUAUAGUAUCUUGCUAAUUAGCCAACAACCUUAGUUUUAAAAGUUCAUUCUAUCUCUUGUGUUGGUGCCCAUCUCAUGCCUAAGCCUAGCAUACCAGUUAUUUGGCACAAAAUGUGUUGUCAGGGAUACUGGUUCCCUCAGCAUCAUGUUGUAUAAACAUAAGUUUGGGUAUCUAUUUAUGCUGCCCCAAAUUAGUGAAGAAGCACAGAUACCUAAACAUUUUGGGCUGAAGUAUUUGGCAUAUACGUACAGCUUGCUUACCCAUCACUAUUCAUUACAAGUGGCAUAUUCUGGGUCAACUGAAAUGUUCUGUAUAAUUUAUGUGCUCAAUUUCAUACAGGUUAGGAAGAAAUGCACACCAUUAUAUUCACUUUUGGCAAAUUAACAAGAAUUCUUGUUAUUUUUCUUUGGAGCACAGUCCUUUUGCCAUUGGCUUAUUUUAAAAAUGUCCCUAGAACUUAAAUUAUAAAUCCAGUAGUUCAUUUCAACAAACCAUUAUACUCUGCACAGCACAUGAGAUUUAUUUGCAAUGAAGGUGGAGGGACGCUGAUGAAGUUCACCCCAAACAACAAGCUUGUCAUAUUAAUUUACAUGGCUCAUAAUUCUUAUUUAAAUUGGGAGUCAGGAAACCUUAUCCUGAAACUCUUGCUGCAUUCAUCACAAAUAAUGAGAUGCAUUUUGAGUUAAUGUCCAUCUUUUGUGCCCACAUAGCAGCGUUCAUAUGACCAGACCAGCAAACUCAGGGGCCCUGUUAGUACAUGCUCAGAAAUCAUUUGAUUACUCCUUUCCAGGUCUCAAGGAGAAACUGCCCUACCUACCUAAUAGCUACAUUUUAAUCCAGUGAUAUACCCAUAGCUGUGUUUGUAUUCAUGUAAUGGUUUCCUGCCACCAAGUCCAGCUACCCAUCUCCAUGGCUCCCACUUCUACUGGGAAUUUAUAUUGCCUCUUAACAACAGCAGGCCCCAUUUCCACAUAGGAAAGAGUGGAUAAUGUGCACUCCUGGAACAGGUUCACAGUAGUGUGGCAGUAAAGUUUGCCACCAGUGGAGCUGCUGAUAGCCCCUUCUCUACAAUCCAACAACCAAUUGGGAGUCAGGGCACUGAGGCUCAUGACAACUGAAGAACAGGAGAAAACCAUGGUUCCUGAGGCUGAUUGGGGCUAACCCACAACCUGUGGCCAGAUGUCAUGAUGCCAAAAGUUUUUGUGUGUGGACUUUUAAGUCCCCUUCCCCCUGCAAUGUUUCCAUUUUUUCAUUAAAAGUUUUACUGACUGCUCUAAUAAGCAUGCUACUGUAACACUGUGAUGCCACAAUAUGUUUUUUUUUGUUUGUUUUUUGGUCUCUCAAGAUGGCCCAAAUUUCUCCAUUCUAUUUUUUAAAAUGAAAUAUUUAUUUAUUUUAAUAACCACUUCCGUAGGUCCCUGGAUGUACGGUAAUUACCUGGUGUGAAAGAUUUUUGUCAGACCCCCUCCCCCGACCCUGCACCCCAAAUUUGUCCUAUAGAAAAAAAAUGGCCUCCAUGCAUUUACACUUUGCCCGUGUCUGCUUGGACAUGUAGCCCUUGGCCCAAAAAAGUUUAGCAACCCCUAGUGUAGGUAAUAUACUUUUGCCUGCCCCCCGCCCUGUGCUAAGUUCGCAAACAGCAUUGCAAGAGUGUACAGGAAUAAAAAUACUAUGAGUCAGUUUAGAACUCUUGAAACAUGUACACCCUAGGGUUGCACCACCACCACCAAAUAAUAAAUGAACAAAUUAUUCAGUUUCUAUUCUGCCUUUCGUAGAACAGUUCUAAGGCAUGCUACACAAGAAGAGCAGGAUGGAUACCAUCUUAUGCUGCGUAUCAAAUAUAAAACCACAACUAAAAAUGAACAGCUCCUGUCCCUUCAACAGCAACCUGACUUAAGUAGAUGAUUUCCUGGCAGGAAGAUAAAGUGAUGGGGAAGGCUUGGAUGAUUGCCUAUGCAGCUAUAACCUCUGUUCCUCUGUAGAAACUCCAUGAGGAUUUAAGAGAUUUAUGCUAUAAUAUCUCUCAGUUUUGUUUUGCAUGAUAUUUCACUGGUUAGUAUCAUCUUCAUUGUUCACUGGGGGUGCUUUUUUGGUUGUUUUAUUACUGUAGUUGAAGUCAGGUUUCCUAUUCCUAGCAUCCCCAACAUCAUAAGUAAAUUCACAGGAUCCGGCAAAAUGACUGAGGCAGGGCCUCUCUGGAGCUCACAAUGGAGUUAUUUGGCCCCUGUGCAUUAGGGUGAAUGGGAGGAUGGGGGAAGGUAGAAACAGCUGUUAGUACGGUGGUGGGGUCAAUAUCAUUGGCUGCAGAACUGUGUGGAGAUCUUGCCAUCUACACUGAAGUUUAGGGUCAUGCCAUCCAUUGAUUCUCUGUGUAACAAAUACAACUGAGUGGCCUUCUCUCCGCCCCCCCUUCAAUAACCACCAUAUGUAAUUAGUUUCUUCCAAAAAAGAAGAAUUUGACUGACAAAAUGCCAUCACCAAUACUUCCUUGAAUGAUUACGAAACCUAACUAUUUGUUAAAUACAUAUACAAUUGGUGCUGUAUAAAUGCUGAUGUUUAAUGUCUGAAUACUUGUAAUCUAAACAAUGACAUAAGAC